UUGCCAGCCCGCUCAGAAACUCAAAUGAAUUGACGGGGGCCCGCACAAGCGGAGGAGCAUGUGGUUUAAUUCGAUGAUACGCGAGGAACCUUACCUGGGCUCGAACGUAAGAUGACUGUAGGUGAAAGCUUACAUCUCUUCGGAGCAUUUUACGAGGUGCUGCAUGGUUGUCGUCAGCUCGUGCCGUGAGGUGUCGGGUUAAGUCCCAUAACGAGCGCAACCCCUACCUUUAGUUGCCAUCAGGUUAAGCUGGGGACUCUAAAGGAACUGCCUACGCAAGUAGUGAGGAAGGCGGGGAUGACGUCAAAUCAGCACGGCCCUUACGUCCAGGGCUACACACGUGCUACAAUGGCCGAUACAGAGGGCAGCUACCUGGUGACAGGAUGCAAAUCUCCAAAGUCGGUCUCAGUUCGGAUCGGAGUCUGCAACCCGACUCCGUGAAGUUGGAUUCGCUAGUAAUCGCGCAUCAGCCAUGGCGCGGUGAAUACGUUCCCGGGCCUU
rnacentral:rRNA from 1 species